GUCCUGAUGGUGGGAGAGUCUACAAAUAUCACAUCAGCAUCUGCCCCAGUACCUGCUCCACCGCCUGCCCACUAUAUGAGGUCAUAUUUCCUCGGCCCUACAUCCUUUCAUAUUCGGACGCACCUCCGUAAUAUGUACUUCUUCUUCCCUGUGAUCGGCGGUGUGUGGAGCUACACGGGGCAAAAUAAGUGUGUGAUUACAUACAGAGGAAUUCUCUGUAUGGAGGAGUGGGCCAACAUCCCUGCUGCAGUGUGUGGCAACUUGGUCACGAACUACAAGAAACGUCUGACCUCUGUAAAGUUUUCUAUACCAAAUAUUUUGUAUCAAAUAUUUAUUUUCCCCACUGUAUAAGUGAAUGUGUGUGUGUGUGCCGCGAUGGACUAACGCCCCAUCCAGGGUGUUACUGUGUGCCUUGCGCCUAUUGAAAAGCUAGGAUAGGUUCCUUUUAAAUCCUGUUUAAUUCUGACUGACUGGAGCCUAUCUGCUACUCUGUGCACUUUUCUAACCCCUUGUACCACAUUUAUCAAUCAAAACGACCCCCAAUAACACUAAAUAAGUUUGGAUGUGGAUUGGUUGGGAAGUGUUGUUGGGAUUUUAAAAUCCUGUUUAAUCCUUGCCUGCAUGUUGCUCUGUAGACUUUCCAACCUCCCCGCCACACACACCUUAUUUAUGUGUAUGAGAGAGCUGUCUAUGGGUGAAAAACAAGCAAUUGUGAAGUUGAGAGAAGAUGGAAAAUCAAUCAGAGCCAGUACAACCGUUUGGAAUGUCCUGAAGAAGAAAUUUGUCACUGGUGAACUAAGUAACAGAUGUCGAACAGGUAGACACAGGAAAACAACAGUAGUUGAUGACGGAAACAUUGUGCGUGCUGUAAAGAAAGACCCUAAAACAACUGUGAGUGACAUCAGCAACAACCUCCAGAGGGCAGCAGUGAAGGUAUCACAAUCUACUGUUCACAGAAGACUUCAUGAACAAAAAUAGAGGCUUCACCAGAAGAUGCAAACCACUAAUGAGCAAGAAGAAUAGGAAGGCCAGGCUGGAAUUUGCCAAGAAGUACAGAAACAAGCCUCAGAAAUUCUGGGACAAAGAUGAACCUUUACCAAUGUGAUGGAAAGGCUAAAGUUUGGAGAAAAAAAGGAUCUGCUCAUGAUCCCAAACAUACAAGCUCAUCUGUAAAACACAGUGGAGGUAAUAUCAUGGCUUGGGCUUGCAUGGCUUCUUCUGGGACGGGCUCAUUAAUCUUCAUUGAUGAUGUCACACAUGAUGGCAGCAGUACAAUGAACUCAGAAGUCUACAGAAACAUUUUGUCUGUUAAUUUAAAGAAAGAUGCAACCAAACUGAUUGGGAGAUCCUUCAUCAUGCAGCAAGAUAAUGACCCAAAACACACUGCCAAAACUACAAAGGAGUUCAUCAGGGGCAAGAAGUGGAAGGUUUUGGACCGGCCUAGUCAAUCUCCAGACUUAAACCCUAUAGAGCUGCAUUUUACCUGCUAAAGAGGAGACUGAAGGGAGUAACCCCCCAAAACAAACACCAACUGAAAGAGGCUGCAGUAAAAGCAUCACAAAAGAAGAACGCAAAAGUUUAGUGAUGUCAGUGGGUCACAGGCUUGAUGCAGUUAUUGCAAGCAAAGGAUUUGCAACUAAAUAUUAAGUCUUAUUCACUUUAAUCUGUUUUAAGUUGUUGUAAUCUGUUCCAAUACUUUUGCUCACAAGAAAAAUGGGUGGGUUCAGACAAAAGGUGCUAUCUUCUGAACUGUGUAUCAGAUCCAGAUGUAAAUACCUUCAAAUAAAAGCUGAAAUGUU